UUUAGCCGUCCUACGCAUGGCUUGGUGUUGCAGCAAUUGGCUGGGGAGCCCAUAAUUGAAUAGCGGUGGUAAGAAAGGGCCGGGCAAGACCGGUGCCAGUUUGGCGCGGUAACACCGGCGGUCCGAGUGGUAGCCGUUAUUAUUGGGUUUAAAGGGUCCGUAGCCGGCCUAUUAAGUCUCUGGGGAAAUCUGGCGACUCAAUCGUCAGGCGUCCAAGAGAUACUGGUAGGCUUGGGACCGGGAGAGGUGGGAGGUACUCCAGGGGUAGGGGUGAAAUCUCGUAAUCCUUGGGGGACCACCGAUGGCGAAGGCAUCCCACCAGAACGGGUCCGACGGUGAGGGACGAAAGCUGGGGGCACGAACCGGAUUAGAUACCCGGGUAGUCCCAGCCGUAAACGAUGCUCGCUAGUGUCAGGUGCGGUGCGACCGCAUCUGGUGCCGCAGUGAAAACUUGAAGCGAGUCACCUGGGAAGUACGGUCGCAAGGCUGAAACUUAAAGGAAUUGGCG
rnacentral:rRNA from 1 species